GGCCACUGAUGUUGGAACAAGAAUCAGUCAAGCGUGGCCUUAGGCCCCGAAUAGUGACCUGGGCUGCGCCUCCGGCAGGGCCAGGGCCAUGGAGGGGCACAGGGUGGGACCCCAGCACGCCGUGGGGCCCUCCGACGGACGAGGGCAGCCGCAGCGCACUGCACGGGGGCCUUGCCCCGGGUGACUCCGUGUUCGUCCCCACCGCCGGCCACGCCUCCGCCUCCGCCCGGCCGCGCAGAGCACGCCCCGCCCCGCCCCCCACCCGCGGGAUCCCGCGCGGCCGGCGCCCAGGCGGGGGCACCUGCGCGGACCAGAAGCGAUACACCUUGGUGGUGCCGCGUUCAAACAAAGAGAGUAUGAAGGAAAAAGUGUGAUCCACAUCCGCCAGCCACACCGCUCCACCGCCCUCGAUUCCCUGAAACCCUCUCACCGGGGGCCCUGCCCCGGGGCCACUCGAUGGUGGGGGAGGAGUUCGUCCCACAGCCACGUGCCCCCACGGGCCACAGAGCCAGAGGCCCAGGGUGAGGGAGCCUGGUGGAUGGCCGGUCCCCCGGCCCCCAGCCCCUGGCAACCACUGUCUACCUCCUGUCUCCAUGGAUUCAUGUAUUCUGGACAUUUCAUUUGAUGAAUCAUACGAGACGUGGUCUUGGUGACUGGCUCCCCUCACUCAGCAUCAUGGUGUCAUGUGUUGUGGUCUAGAUCAGAAUUUCAUUCCUUUUUAUGGCCCAAUAAUAUUCAUUGUACGGAUACACCAUCGUUUGUCUAUCCAUUUUUCAAUCGAUGGACAGUUAGGAGGCUUCCGCUCUGUGGCCACUGUGAACAGGGCCGCUGAGAACAUUCAUGGACAAGCUUUCGUGUGGAUGGACGUUUCCAUUUGUCUCGGGCGCAUUCCUAGGAGCGGAAUUUCUGGGUCACACGACAGCUCUGUGUUUCAUCCUCGGAGGAGCUGCCGGGCUGCCCCGCGUCCUCGCAUCCUGCUCCGUGUGCGGUGCGCAGGGCGCUCCCCUUUCUGCUCGGAUGUGCAUCUGUGCCACCCUUUGAACCCAAUCUCGGGUCUAACGGGCGUAGCCCGCGCUGCCCUGUGGAGGGUCUCGGAGCCUCGCGAAGGGAAGCGACGCCCCUCCCCUGCUCUCCGCGCCGCCCUCCAAGGUCAACAAAACUAUCUUUUAAGCUGAACCACGCAAAACCCAGAAAGAAACGAACCUGACUUCUUCCUCCAGCUACAGAUGGCAGAGGCUUUUUUGACCUCUGAAGAAAGUAAAGAGAAAAACGAAGGGAAAAUGCAUAGGUGGAAACAUAAAUUAAAAAUUUAAAGGAACAAAAAAUUAAAAGGAACUAAGCACAGUGGUCCUUAGGCCAAGCUUCACAUUAGAAUCAUCUAGAAACUCUUUAAAAAGUGCGCCUGCCCAGGCCCUUCUCUCAGGCCUGGGGUUCAGCUGGUCCCCGGCGGCCGUGCGGGGCCUCCUGGAAGCUCCUCGGAGGCGGGCUCUGACGGCCGCAGGGCCGAUGGGGAGCCCUGCUGGCAGGGACAGCCUGGGCGCGCUGCGGGGACCCUGUAGUUCACAGCAGACCGUCUGUUGGGCGGGUUAUACCUGGCUGGCUGGGGUUCGAGCCGGUGCUACCAGUGUUGGCAGUGGUCCACUGAGAUCCCGAGAUCCUCAGAACUGGUGGGGCAGGGAGUCUCCUCAGGGACUGACCCGCCUUCUCAGGACAGGGCAGCACUGGCCGUAAUAAAGGGCUGGCGCUCCUUGAGCCCCUCCCUCAAACGUGUCCCUAAGCGCUCUUCCCACCUGCCUCCUUUAAGGCUCUAUGAAGUGUUAUUACCCUUUUUUUACUGAUGAGGAAACUGAGGAUCAGAGAGGGUGGGAGAAUUGCCUAAGGUCACAUCACUUAUAAAGAAAGGAACCCAGAUUCAAACUGAAGUCUGCCUGAUUCCAAACCCUUGAAUUAUUAACCCUUGCACUGGACCAUCUCCUGAGGCAAAGCUGACUUUGCUGGGGUGGGGAUGGGGCCUGGUGGUCUAUCCAUCCCUCCAUCCACCCCUCUAUCCCUCCGUCCGUCUCCCCAUCCAUCCCUCCAUCCUUCCAUCCCUCCCUCCAUCCAUCCCUUCAUCUGUCUCUCCAUCGAUCCCUCCCUCCAUCCAUCCCUUCAUCUGUCUGUCUCUCCAUCCAUCCCUCCAUCCUUCCAUCCCUCCAUACAUCCAUCCCUUCAUCUGUCUGUCUCUCCAUCCACUCCUCCAGCCCUCCCUCCAUCCACCUCUCCCUCUAUCCUUCGUUCAUAUCCUUCCAUCCUUCCAGGCAUCUCUCUACCCUCCGUCCACCAGUCCUUCCGUCCGUCCGUCCCUCCAUCCCUCUCUCUGUCUGUCCAUGCGUCCUUUCUCCUCCUCUUCCACCCCUCCCCCCACCCCUCCCUCCGCUCCAGGCUUACCUGCAUGAACGUCCUCUAGUCAGACGUCGAGGGGGAUAAAACCUACGUGUAUCUGAUGCGGCCGCUGCUCUUCCUGCCCCCCUUGACUGUCCCCCGUGACUCCUAACUGGCAGUAAAAUCCCCAUCAGGGCUUGGUGAGAGGCACAGCAAGGACUGGUGGGGACUGUGGCAGACGGGAGAGCACAUUGAGUCAUUGCUGUGAUGGAACGUGGGCCCGGUGUUGCCAGCACAGCUUCCGCCUGUGGCUGCUUUUUCCUUUCCACGCUCCUCCAUGAACAUCUCUCCACACUGAUGAACAUCCUUCUCCCUCACGGUUCCUCCUGGCGGCACCAUAUUUCCUGCCACCAUUCCCUCAGUGGAGAGCCCAGCAGCAGGUUAGGGGGCCAGCUUUGGCGCCAGACUCUCUGGGGUUUGGACCUCAGCUCUGCCAGCUACUUGCUGUGUGACCUUGGGCAAGCUCCCGAACUACUCUGGGCCUCAGUUUCUGCAUCUGUAAAAUGGGGACAGUGUGCACAUCCCUCACACAAGGGUGUCAUGUGGAUUCGAUGAGCCAACAGAGCGAGAGGUGGCACAGGGCCGGGCCCAGUGAGCAGCUCCGUAAGUAUAGGCUGCUGUCCUGCGGGCCCCUGAGGAGGAGCAGCUGCCCCAGCCCUCGUGACCCUGCAGCUUUCAUUAAACCUCAGCUCAAGCUUCAGGACUGUGGCCUUUGCAGGCCGUUCUCUCAACCCGGGCCUGCGGGAGCUGAGUGGCUUCUUGCAGCAUCCAAUCUCCCUGGGCCAGGAGAGUGCAUGCGUGCAAACCGGGCGGACAGCGUCCACACCUGCCCUGGGGUGGACUGUCCCGAGCAUGCUGACCGCUGGUGGGCAGGGAUGCUGGGAGCCCCAAUGUCAGGCAGGGGCGAGGCCUCCCCUCCAGGAGCGGGGUUGUCAGGUGGGUGCAGCUCCAAGGAGGAGGGGGAGGAGGAAGAGGCAGCCCCCACUCACACCGACGAGGUCCUGAGGCCCGGCCCAGGCCCUCGUCCCAGAUGAUGGCGACGGAGAGAGACAGCUGGUCAGAAAGAAAAGAAAAAUCAGAGAACACCAGGGUGGGGGUAGGGGAAGCAGUUUAGACGAGGGGGUCCAGGGAUGCAUCUGGGAGGUGGGGGGUGAGGUGACAUCUGAGCUGAGACCUGGUAACUUUUGAGCUGGGGGUAGGGGACAAGAAGGAGCCAGCGCAGGACGUCUGUGGGGAGAGGGGCUCUUGCGAGAGGCAUCUGCGGGGCGGCAGGACCGGGUCACACUGGCCGUGGAAGGAGCUGGGAGUUUGCUCCGGGGCACUGGGGAGCCACAGAGGCUUCUAUGCCAGGAACCAGCACGUCCUGAGUUUGCUUUUUAGAAGAUCAAGUGGGUUACCGUAGACAGGAGAGGGGAGGCAGUGAGAACAGCGGCAGGACCCCACGCAGCUCAGGCUCAGACACCCAGACCCACACGGGCGAGCCGGUGGAUGCAGACAUCCCCCAGCCUGUAGUGUGUGGAGUGUGUGUACACAAAUGUGACAACCAAACGCCAAGCUCUGUCUUCCAAUUCUUGCUGCUCAGCUGUACACAACAGAGGUCUCUGUUAAGGAAAAAGCAAAACUCUCCUGUGGUCCCACCACCGUUAACAUCUGGUCUGCUUCCUUCCUCCCGUUUUUAUACAUAUAUGCAGGUUAUUUUAAUAAAUCUCCUUUAUGUUAG
rnacentral:lncRNA from 1 species